rfam:Gossypium raimondii Chr13_contig_1158, whole genome shotgun sequence.
CACGUCAGCGUGAGUUGCUGACAUGGCAACAAAUCGCGCCCUCUAGGAUGACGAUUUGUGCCAAGUGUGAUUUGUUGCCAUGUCAGCAACUCGCGCUGACGUGG